CAAAAGCGCUUUUCAGAAUGAUUAACCCCUGUCCUGCCAGUGAUCACUAUACAGAUCACAGGCUCUUGCACAGCAGCACUUAUUUUGCAGUCUGUUCAUUUUUUUAGGGGUUAAUUUUUUUUGUCUGAUUUUUUUUUUUUUGUGACAGGUCACAAAGUAAAGUGAUUGUGAUCGUGUCACAUGGGUCACGGAAGUCAACCAGCGCUGAGCAGUCAUAUGCCACCCUUGCGCUAGAGUCUGACGCGUCUAUGUCAGACUUCGACCC